AUUUGGACCUGCUCGAUGUCUCGGACGACAUUACCAUAACUCACAAGAUCUGCCAUUCCAUGAGAGAGGUUUACCAAAAUACCCAAACCCUCUCCGAUCGUACGGUGGAGCAGCACCGGUCAUCCUAAGCAAACAAGACUACGUGAAGUCUCCGCCGUUCUAACCAUCAAAUUCCGUGCUAACUCCAAAAAAACCACAAUUUUAUUUUAACAAAAAGGUGAAAUUUGAAACCCUAGCUUCAGAGUUGUGAAGUUUCCGAUGAAUUGGGUAUGCUCGGAAACCAAAGAAAAAAAGCUUAUCACUUGUUUCAGGUGGUAACGGCUCUGGUGUGCUUGCAAAUUGCGGUUUGUUUUGCUAAUCUUGAGAAAUUUUCGCCGGAGGAUUAAAGAAGAUGAAAUGGUCGGAGAGAGACCGGAGAUGGCGGGAGGAAGAGCACGAGAAUGAAAUCACUGUCUGUCUCAACCGGC